CUACGGGCUGCUGCAGUGGGGAAUAUUGCACAAUGGGCGAAAGCCUGAUGCGGCAACGCCGCGUGGAGGAUGACACAUUUCGGUGCGUAAACUCCUUUUAUAUAAGAAGAUAAUGACGGUAUUAUAUGAAUAAGCACCGGCUAACUCCGUGCCAGCAGCCGCGGUAAUACGGGGGGUGCAAGCGUUACUCGGAAUCACUGGGCGUAAAGAGCAUGUAGGCUGGAUGACAAGUUGGAAGUGAAAUCCUAUGGCUUAACCAUAGAACUGCUUCCAAAACUGUCUUCCUAGAGUAUGGGAGAGGUAGAUGGAAUUUCUGGUGUAGGGGUAAAAUCCGUAGAGAUCAGAAGGAAUACCGAUUGCGAAGGCGAUCUACUGGAACAUUACUGACGCUCAGAUGCGAAAGCGUGGGGAGCAAACAGGAUUAGAUACCCUCGUAGUC
rnacentral:rRNA from 1 species